rnacentral:sRNA from 2 species
GCAAUGGAUGACUAGGGUUCCGACUCGCUCGUGCGGGUGUCUGGUCCGAGAGUCGUCGACCUCUGAUGGGGUUACACGGCGGGACAAAAGCCCGGGAGAC